rnacentral:lncRNA from 1 species
AUUUGAUAAAUUAUCCUUUUUUAAUUUAAUAUCCCUAAUAAUAUUGUUGCAAGGUUAUUAUUGUGUAAAAAAAAAAGAAAAAAGAAAAAGUAAGGCUAGGAUUUUAACAUGUUUAACAAUAAGGGCGGCUUGGGUUGAGCUAUGUUGCAACGGUUGUCACGUACCCUAAUUUUUAUCUUUUAUGAUUUAACUAAUGUUAAAUUUCAUCGAGCUCCUCAUACUCCUUUUUACUCAUAAAAUACUAAGAAAUAAUAUGGUAUUUUCUACUUAAAUACACUAUUAAAAUUCUAUUUAGCACAUUAUUCUCUUUUUAUUUAUUAUUUUUAUAAGUAUUAAAGUACUUAUUUGGAUUAAAUCCAAGACAUCUUAAUCCACGUAAAACACUAAGAUCAACAAAAAGACAACAAUACCCUUAAAUUUAUAAAUUAAAAAUAAAAUUUAAGAUUUUUUUCCUCUUUCCUCUCACCUUCAUCUCCAUCAUCAUUACUUCUCACAUUCAUCUUCUUCCAUUGUCAUGAUCUUCACCUUCAUCUUCACAUAUUUUAAACUUACGGAAUAUUAAUAGAAAUGACAUUUUUGCCUCUAAAUGUUCUAAAAAUUUCAUGGCAAUCACUUCAAAUCUAAACUCAAAUCGGCCACUCCUAUCAAAGCGAAUUGUAAAUUGUUUCGAUGCCAUCUUCUUCGUUACAAUUAAGGGAGGGCAUGGGUUGGUUUGGGUUGGAUUUUAAGUCAACCCAAACCAAACCAUAAAAAUUUGGAUCCAACCCAAAUAUUUUUAACCUAAUCCAAACCAUUUGGGUUUGGUUUGAA